CCUACGGGAGGCAGCAGUAGGGAAUAUUGCUCAAUGGGGGAAACCCUGAAGCAGCAACGCCGCGUGGAGGAUGAAGGUUUUCGGAUUGUAAACUCCUUUUGUUAGAGAAGAUAAUGACGGUAUCUAACGAAUAAGCACCGGCUAACUCCGUGCCAGCAGCCGCGGUAAUACGGAGGGUGCAAGCGUUACUCGGAAUCACUGGGCGUAAAGAGCGCGUAGGCGGGAUAGCAAGUCAGAUGUGAAAUCCUAGGGCUUAACCAUAGAACUGCAUUUGAAACUGUUAUUCUAGAGUAUGGGAGAGGUAGGUGGAAUUCUUGGUGUAGGGGUAAAAUCCGUAGAGAUCAAGAGGAAUACUCAUGGCGAAGGCGACCUGCUAGAACAUAACUGACGCUGAUGCGCGAAAGCGUGGGGAGCAAACAGGAUUAGAUACCCCUGUAGUC
rnacentral:rRNA from 1 species